rnacentral:sRNA from 1 species
AACUAGCCCCGGUUGAAGUGUUACCCUGCAGCGACGAGGCACGAGGAAGCGAAGCGUAAAAACGGAAAACGGGAAGAUAC